AUAAUUUGACAUUUUACUGUGGAAAAAACAAUUCUAUUCACUAUUUCUAGUCGGGUCUGGAAAUAUUCCACGGUAGUCCAUCACUCACGAAUCAAGACUGCUAACCCUUCCGCUAGAGUCGAAGAUGAAUCCUCUAGAGUAGGCCUACAAUGCGGUACACGAUUCAAUUUAAAUUAAAAUGCAAAGCUGAAAUAAAUACAACUGUCCCGAAGAUAUUUUCUGCAAGUUACUAUACAUUUGUUUUAUGAAAUGGCCUAAUCUCUUUACAAGAUUCCGUUCUGUGAUUCCAUAGACAACUCAUUUGCUUUUUAAUUUUGAAUAAUGAAUGAGUUAAUUGAAAAUUACAUUAAAUAUAAAAA